GACGAACGCUGGCGGCGUGCUUAACACAUGCAAGUCGAACGGUGAAGGCGGAGCUUGCUCUGCUGGAUCAGUGGCGAACGGGUGAGUAACACGUGAGCAAUCUGCCCCUGACUCUGGGAUAAGCGCUGGAAACGGCGUCUAAUACUGGAUACGAGCUGCGAAGGCAUCUUCAGCAGCUGGAAAGAACUUCGGUCAGGGAUGAGCUCGCGGCCUAUCAGCUUGUUGGUGAGGUAACGGCUCACCAAGGCGUCGACGGGUAGCCGGCCUGAGAGGGUGACCGGCCACACUGGGACUGAGACACGGCCCAGACUCCUACGGGAGGCAGCAGUGGGGAAUAUUGCACAAUGGGCGAAAGCCUGAUGCAGCAACGCCGCGUGAGGGACGACGGCCUUCGGGUUGUAAACCUCUUUUAGCAGGGAAGAAGCGAAAGUGACGGUACCUGCAGAAAAAGCGCCGGCUAACUACGUG
rnacentral:rRNA from 1 species